rnacentral:rRNA from 1 species
ACGAAGGGGGCUAGCGUUGUUCGGAAUUACUGGGCGUAAAGGGCGCGUAGGCGGCCUGCUAAGUCGAACGUGAAAUCCCCGGGCUCAACCCGGGAACUGCGUCCGAUACUGGUUGGCUUGAAUCCGGGAGAGGGAUGCGGAAUUCCAGGUGUAGCGGUGAAAUGCGUAGAGAUCCGGAAGAACACCGGUGGCGAAGGCGGCCUGCUGGGCAGUGGCUGACGCUGAGGCGCGACAGCGUGGGGAGCAAACAGGA